AAAAUCCGCAAACCAAUCCGAAGGCGUGAUGUGGACCGAAAUCUAGUAGGGAAGCGUGUGAGCUGGCUGCCAAGAAAAGCCGCUAUUGUUUAUUAUGAGCCCGUACCGUAAACCGACACAGGUGGAUGAGGAGAGAAUCCUAAGGCCGACGGGAGAAGCAUUGUUAAGGAACUCGGCAAAAUGACCCCGUAACUUCGGGAGAAGGGGUGCCUCUGUAACAGGAGGCCGCAGAGAAUUGGCCCAAGCAACUGUUUAGCAAAAACACAGGUCUAUGCAAAACCGCAAGGUGAAGUAUAUGGGCUGACGCCUGCCCGGUGCUGGAAGGUUAAGGGGAGGGCUUAGCGUAAGCGAAGGUCCGAACUUAAGCCCCAGUAAACGGCGGCCGUAACAAUAACGGUCCUAAGGUAGCGAAAUUCCUUGUCGGGUAAGUUCCGACCCGCACGAAAGGCGUAAUGAUUUGGGCACUGUCUCAACAAUGGACCCGGUGAAAUUGAAGUACCAGUGAAGAUGCUGGUUACCCGCGCCAGGACGGAAAGACCCCAUGGAGCUUUACUCUAGCUUGAUACUGGGAUUCGGUAUUGCAUGUACAGGAUAGGUGGGAGGCUAUGAAAGAAGGACGCCAGUCUUUCUGGAGCCGCUGUUGGGAUACCACCCUUGUGGUACUGGGUUUCUAACCUGCCGCCAUGAACUGGCGGAGGGACAAUGUCAGGUGGGGAGUUUGACUGGGGCGGUCGCCUCCGAAAGGGUAUCGGAGGCGCUCAAAGGUUCCCUCAGAAUGGUUGGAAACCAUUCGUAGAGUGCAAAGGCAGAAGGGAGCUUGACUGUGACACCGACGGGUGGAGCAGGUACGAAAGUAGGACUUAGUGAUCCGGUGGUAUAAAGUGGGAUUGCCAUCGCUCAACGGAUAAAAGCUACCCUGGGAUAACAGGCUUAUCACUCCCAAGAGUUCACAUCGACGGAGUGGUUUGGCACCUCGAUGUCGGCUCAUCGCAUCCUGGGGCUGUAGUAGGUCCCAAGGGUUGGGCUGUUCGCCCAUUAAAGCGGUACGCGAGCUGGGUUCAGAACGUCGUGAGACAGUUCGGUCCCUAUCCGGCGUGGGCGUAGGAUAUUUGAGAGGAGCUGUCCUUAGUACGAGAGGACCGGGAUGGACUGACCUCUGGUGCAUCGGUUGUUCACCAAGAGCAUGGCCGAGUAGCCAAGUCGGGACGGGAUAAACGCUGAAGGCAUCUAAGCGUGAAGCCCCCCUCAAGAUGAGAUAUCCCAGCGAAAGCUGUAAGACCCCUUGAAGACGACAAGGUAGAUAGGGCAGAGGUGGAAGUGCGGUAACGCAUGCAGCUGACUGUCACUAAUAGGUCGAGGGCUUGACC
rnacentral:rRNA from 1 species